AUGGUGAUUUCGAUAACGCGAUGUGUUCAGCCGCUCCAAUCUAGAGGCUUUCCUAUGUGGAAUUACAACGGGGAGGACGACGCGUCCCGUUGUCUACGCAAGGGUCCAGACAAUUUUGCUGCCCUGGCCACCAUCCUAGCUAACCUUUACAAAGGGGAGAAGGAAGACUUCACUCGCUUGAAAUGUCGGGAAGGUUUUUCCAUGUAUAACCCCAUCGACUGGGAAUGGAGAAAGGUCGACGAGGGGGUCUACAGCCCCGCUCCACAACCAGAGGACCAUGUUCGAGACCUGGAUCCCGGAAUGAAGAAGAUCCGGAUAUAUUCAAAGAACUUAAGGAGGGGGUCUUCUAUCAGGCGAGCUACGAUGACACAGAAGUGGCCAUUAUAG
rnacentral:rRNA from 1 species